rnacentral:rRNA from 1 species
UACGUAGGGGGCAAGCGUUGUCCGGAUUUAUUGGGCGUAAAGAGCGUGUAGGCGGCUUUACAGGUCCGUUGUGAAAACUCGAGGCUCAACCUCGAGACGCCGGUGGAAACCGUAAGGCUAGAGUCCGGAAGAGGAGAGUGGAAUUCCUGGUGUAGCGGUGAAAUGCGCAGAUAUCAGGAGGAACACCAAUGGCGAAGGCAGCUCGCUGGGACGUUACUGACGCUGAGACGCGAAAGCGUGGGGAGCAAACAGG